UUUUCGCUUGCGUAUAAAUAUGUAGAUACCAUAUUAUUAAAGCAAUUAAUUGAUGCUGCCAAGUACAGAAAGUGGUAACUUUUUACAUUAUGCAGAAUCGACGUCGAUCAUGAUGAGUAAUGGUUGUCUGAGACUAGCCAAGUCCUAUGUUCAUCUGCAGUACCCAAACAAUAGUCACCAAGACAUCACCUAGAUGUCACCAAGUCAAGUAAGUUGUUCGUGCUCGCGGAGACAAAAAGCAUAAAUAUUAUGUGGAGUAUUAAACAACAAUAAAGCGUGCAAAUUAAAAUUA